UCAUCGAUUGUAAGAAUAAAGGAAGAAUAAAAGCUUUCACUGCCUGACAUCACGUCUUUGCCUUUCAUUGAAACCGUUACAACUACCUGUGGCCGCCAUCGUGUUUGAAGUAAAACACAAAUAACGAAACGAAUAAUAAUCCGGGCAAUCAAUGAGCAAGCACGUGCGUCUGUACCUGUGACGUUCCAUGAUGGAGGGAGGAGUGGAGGCAAGAGUCCAGGCCUGACGAGAGGGGGGGACAGGGGGGUCUGGUGUACCCGGGCCCGCGGCUGUCAAGGGGGCCCGGCCUUGGGUCAGAAAAUGAACACGAAGCUGAAGUGUCCUGCUCCAUUGGGAUUUCUGGUCUGUUUUCUUAUUUUCCACGUGGUGCCAGGUGUGACCUCAGGCAAUGUGACUGGUACUGAGUGCACUGUACAGGAGUCGUAAGUAUCCAGAUGUGUUUUAUUGUCAGCAGUUCAAACGCACGUGGCCUAAUGAAAGCUCUUGUCAAAUUUCGUGAUAAAUUUGAUAUUUAAAAAAAAA